GGCUUGCAAGCAAAAAUUCGUGACCAAGCCCCUUUCGCUUUUUUGUGCCAUGUUCUGCCCAUUCUUUGAAUUUAGUGGCAACUGCUGAAUCGUCUACAGAAGCGUGUUGCUUUUUCAUGUUGCUACAGGAAAUCUACUUUUUUUUGUGAACUCCACACAACGCUGGCAAAAGUUAUUGACUGAAAUCGGAAAAGGAAAAAGUGUUAAAAGGGUAAAUCUGAUACGUUGGUCAGCUACAGCAUGUUAUGUAUCCUAUGUAAAAGUUUAAAAGAAUCUUGGUCCGAAGUUCUUAAAACUUUGCAAUCAAUCAACGAUGACUGUACCGAAAAGCCUGUAACGCGACAGAAAGCGGCGGGAAUACUUUUAAAUUUAGAUAAACUGGAAACGGCGGUAAUGGUUGUUGUAUGGGAUGUUUUUUUAGAGAAAAUAAACAAAGUGAAUGUUCAAAUUCAGACUUCUAACAUAGAUUUGAUUACCGUUGCUGAUCUUUACGAAUCACUUCGUAAGUUUUUUAUAGCUGAACGAGAGAAUUUCAAGUACUUCGAAGAAAAGGCGAUCGAGUUAAGUGUAUCGAAAGAAUAUACAAGAGAGAUGAAAAAAAGACAACCAAAAAGAAAAAAAAGAUUUGAUGAGACACCAGAUAAGGAUAUUGGAAUAGCUGCGAGUGAUCACUUCAGGGUUAAUACGUUUCUCGUUGUCAUAGAUAGACUCAUAUCCGAGUUAGCAAAACGGCAAGAGGCUUAUCAAAGAUUUAACGAAAAAUUUUCAUUUCUUACCAAAAUGAAUGAGUUGUUACCAUCAGUUCUGACAGAAAAAGCCAGUUUUUUACAAAAAAUGUAUCCUAAUGAUUUAGAAACAGACUUAGGGUGAGAUCUAUAGAGCGGACUUAGACUUUGCUCUGACUUAACUAUCGAGUUAAGACACAGUCGGUAUUUAUAGAGCAAACUGCGAAUCUCUCCUAGUGUUGACUUAGCUUAAUCUCAAGUCCACGAAAUCGACGACUUACCCAAAACUUUGACUAUAAGCCUAACAAAAAUAAUGGCCUAAAAUUUGCUUUACCAUCAUAUCUUUUACUGGACUUUUUAUUUUUGUCGGUUUUUAAUGAAUGGUGUUGCCAUUUUGUAUCGGAGUUCCAUAGACUUUGGCAAUAAUAGAAUUUGAAUUCAACGAAAUUAUAAAUGAUCUUUAUAAAUACCUAUGCAAUGCAUGAAAUAAAAUAAUUACACAUUAUUAUGGUAUCUAUUGUUGUUUAUUUACAUUAUUUAUAUAAGUGUUCAACCCCAUUUUUGAGAGAUCUUAUAAAUAACUGAUGUGAUAUCGAAUCUGUCACCUGGCAGCACUGGCAUAUGUUGACAACAAAAUUCAAACUACAUAAUAUAACCAAACCAACUUCGUCUCUCGCCAAUCGCUUCACAUCCGUUGACCGUUAUUUUCGAUUACCUGAAUCUUCUACCUUUUAUUACCUGACGACCUUGCUUGAUCAACGGAUUUUGUACCUGCUUAAACGACUGACCACGGCUAUUCUCACUCAGACCGGACUCGCUCACCAAAAAAUGGAUAAAAAAAAACAGAAGCCUUACUCGGAAUAUGAGAGGCAACUGCUUGUACAGUUGGUUCAGUCAAAGAUUGGCAUUCUAGAGAACAGGAAGACGGACGCCGUUUACCAAAAAAUGAAACACGAGGCUUGGGAAGAAUUAGCAAUAGAAUUUAAUAACUCUAACGUGUCACAUACUUACAAUUUUUUUUCGAUUUUAGGCUGAUUCUAAACAA